UGUCUGUACACAUGCACGUAUGUAUGUCUGUAUGUAUGUAAGUAUAUAUGGUAUGCAUAUGUGUAUGUAUGUAUGGU
rnacentral:pre_miRNA from 1 species